UAUAUUUUAGUAUAUUGAAAGUACAGAGACUUUUGAAGUCUUAAGAUAAAGUUUAAUUCUUUAAAAUAUAA
rnacentral:tRNA from 1 species